CCAGACUCCUACGGGAGGCAGCAGUGGGGGAUAUUGCACAAUGGGGGAAACCCUGAUGCAGCAACGCCGCGUGAGUGAAGAAGUAUUUCGGUAUGUAAGGCUCUAUCAGCAGGGAAGAAGAUGACGGUACCUGAUUAAGAAGCCCCGGCUAACUACGUGCCAGCAGCCGCGGUAAUACGUAGGGGGCAAGCGUUGUCCGGAAUCAUUGGGCGUAAAGAGUUCGUAGGCGGUAUGUUAAGUCUGGUGUUAAAUGCAGAAGCUCAACUUCUGUUCGGCACUGGAUACUGGCAAACUAGAAUGCGGUAGAGGUAAAGGGAAUUCCUGGUGUAGCGGUGAAAUGCUUAGAUAUCAGGAGGAACAUCGGUGGCGUAAGCGCUUUACUGGGCCGUAAUUGACGCUGAGGAACGAAAGCCAGGGUAGCAAAUGGGAUUAGAUACCCUGGUAGG
rnacentral:rRNA from 1 species